CUGCAGGGAAAUUUAUUUCAAAACAGUCGGCUACCUCACAAUUUUUCCAGGAUGGAAAGGAGAGCAGAUGAUAUGAGGCAGACACUAUCUCCAAUCUUCAAAAACUGUUCGUUAUACAAAUAUCCUUGAAAAGAUAGUGUGGAAUAAAGGAAAACCAGUUCCCUGUUGACAAGAGGUGCAGAAACAGAGGUUCCAGAAGAAUUGACUCCCAGUGAAAAGUGGAAAUUUUCCUUCACUUACAUUUGUCUGAACUCUUUUGGGUAUGUUAAAAAGUGAUUUAAGGAAGAGCAACAAGAACACUGAUUUUGGACCUUCACAAGGAAUCCCUUUUUCCUAGAUGGUAUGUUGUCUGAAUGAAGAAACCCCGCAAAGUGUGGGGAGCCCCCAAGACCACGGCUCCAAGGAGUUUCUAAAUUUGAUGCUACUCUAUGGUUUCCAGAAAUUCAUUAAAGUUACCAGUUAAGUA